GAUAGAUAGGAGACAAAACCUACUUAUGGAAGCAUAAGGUGUCAACGGUUCAUAAUUAAAGCUGAAAGUCCGGUUAACUUUAAUAUGCCAAUGUACUCGGAUAGGACACAUAUGGCGCGUACAUUGAACCAAUGGUGCAUGACUAUUUUUGCCUGAUCUUGAAAGAGCAGAAGGUACAUUUGGAGAUUCGGACCUGUAAGAUGGUAUCAGACAAGUGAAAAUUGCCGAUCCCUGGUUGGGUAAUGCUGUUUUGGCAGCCACAAGCGCAAGUUGGACAGCUCACAAUGGAUUUGCUAUAAAAGGAUGAGAGUGAGACACAACAGGGUAAGUCUGGUGAUGCAGAUAUUGGUGCAUAAAACCAACAACAAUGACAAGGAAAAGUAUCAAAGAAGGAUAAGAAGGGCCCACAGGUAUAUCCAGGCCCCGGUGUAUUCAGUGUGAAGUUUUGUGGUGCUCUGGCAGUUGUAUUGUUAGUUCCCGCUUGAUUAAC